rnacentral:rRNA from 1 species
UCCCAGACUCCUACGGGAGGCAGCAGUGGGGAAUAUUGGGCAAUGGGCGCAAGCCUGACCCAGCAAUGCCGCGUGAAGGAAGAAGGCUUUCGGGUUGUAAACUUCUUUGACAGGGGAAGAGCAGAAGACGGUACCCUGAAAACAAGCCACGGCUAACUACGUGCCAGCAGCCGCGGUAAUACGUAGGUGGCGAGCGUUAUCCGGAAUGAUUGGGCGUAAAGGGUGCGCAGGCGGUCCUGCAAGUCUGGAGUGAAACGCAUGAGCUCAACUCAUGCAUGGCUUUGGAAACUGGAGGACUGGAGAGCAGGAGAGGGCGGUGGAACUCCAUGUGUAGCGGUAAAAUGCGUAGAUAUAUGGAAGAACACCAGUGGCGAAGGCGGCCGCCUGGCCUGUUGCUGACGCUGAGGCACGAAAGCGUGGGGAGCAAAUAGGAUUAGAUACCCGGGUA